UAGAGUUUGGAUCCUGGCUCAGAUUGAACGCUGGCGGCAGGCCUAACACAUGCAAGUCGAGCGGUAACAUUUCUAGCUUGCUAGAAGAUGACGAGCGGCGGACGGGUGAGUAAUGCUUGGGAACAUGCCUUGAGGUGGGGGACAACCAUUGGAAACGAUGGCUAAUACCGCAUAAUGUCUACGGACCAAAGGGGGCUUCGGCUCUCGCCUUUAGAUUGGCCCAAGUGGGAUUAGCUAGUUGGUGAGGUAAAGGCUCACCAAGGCGACGAUCCCUAGCUGGUUUGAGAGGAUGAUCAGCCACACUGGAACUGAGACACGGUCCAGACUCCUACGGGAGGCAGCAGUGGGGAAUAUUGCACAAUGGGCGCAAGCCUGAUGCAGCCAUGCCGCGUGUGUGAAGAAGGCCUUCGGGUUGUAAAGCACUUUCAGUCAGGAGGAAAGGUUAGUAGUUAAUACCCUGCUAGCUGUGACGUAC
rnacentral:rRNA from 1 species